UAAGCACUCUGAGAUCUACUGAGCAGGCGGCUCACCUUUCUCCAUGGGGUCUAUUCUCCCAGCCUGCUGCGCUACACGGCUGAUGAUAGAGUGAGGUGCUUCGGCCAGGACCUGAAGAACACUCCCAGAACGUAGUGGCCAUCUGCUUCAUCCUCACUGAGCAUAAUAUGGUCUGCACCACUCGAGCAUAGUGGUAACAGGUAUUGAAAGGCUGUUACCAGGUCACCUCAGAGCCUUCAAUUCUCCAGGCUGAACAGCCCCAGUUUUCUCUCUUUAUAGGAAAGGCAUUCCAUCCCUCAGUUCAUAUUUGUGGCCAUUCUCUGGAUGUACUCCGACAGCUCUAUGUCUGUGUCCUGCACUGCAGCCAUCCAAAUCCAGACACAGGACUCCAGGUGAGGCCUCACCAGCGUAGAGCAGAGGGGCAGGAUCAUUUCCCUUCGCCUACUGACCACGCAUCUUUGGAUGGAACCCAGCAUACAGUUGGCUUUCUGGGCUGGGAAGGUACAUUGUUGAGUGCCCACUGCUCAGCCUGUUGAGGUCCCUCUGGAUGGUGUCCCGUCCCUCUGGUGUGUCACUGCACACCACAGCUCGGUGUCAUUAGGGUGCACUUGACCCCCACUGUCAAUGUCACUGAUGAAGAGGCAAUCCCGGAUGUUUAUACAAACUUGGCAAAGAACCCCUUGAGAGCAGCCCUGCAGAGAAGGACUUGUGGAUCCCAGUGGAUAAGAAGCUGGACGUGGGCAUCCUGGAAAGACAACUAUAUCCUGGGCUGCAUUAAAAGAAGAACGGCCAGCAGAAAGAGGGAGGUGUAGUUUGUGGUGCGGUGUGUGUGUGUGUGUUUGUGGUGCGGUGUUUUUCACUCAGGGUAGUGAUGCACUGGAACAUGUGCUUUAGAGUCACUUCCAGGAGGAUCUGCUCUGCGAUCAUUCACAGCACAGAGGUGAGUCUGACAUGUUGGUAGUUCCUAGGGUCAUCAUUUUUAUCCGUAAUAACAGGUGUGCUGUUGUCUUUUUUCUACUCACCAGGGAUUUCACCUGACUGCCACAACUUCUCAAAUACCAGUGAGAAUGGCUUGUUGACUGCAUCAGCGAAUACCCUUGUGACUCUGGGAUGCAUCUCAUUGGGACCCAUAGACUCCUGGAUGUUCAGGUUCCUCAGGUGAUCGCAAAGCCUAUCUUGACUCACAGGGUGGGGCAGGGAGGUUGUUGGUGGGGGUGGCAUUGCUUUCUCAAUCCCCACCUGCACAGCCAAAGGUGAGGGCUGGGUAUAAUGAGCAGUUAUCAGAGAAGAUGGAAGCAAAAGUGUUGUUGGGUAUUUGAGUCUUUUCCUUGUUAGUUGUUCUCAGCUACUGAGCUGCUGGUGAGCAGCAUCAUGCACAGAGUGCAGCCCCCCAAUGUAUGCAGGGUAGUGCUUUCAUUACUGUGCAGCAUUAAUGGGAGCUGUGGUUCUCCCAGGUGCUGUAACGACUGCAUGGAGAGAUGUGUGCAUCUUCAUGAGAACAGCUAGGAAUGGAAAGCUGGAUUUCCUGGAAUGCCCCGGAAUCCCACUUUGCUGACUGGUAAUUGUCUGUCCAGCAGGUAAGGGCAGCGUACGCACACCAAUGUUUACCCAUUAUGUAGCGUGGCACAACAUAGCACUCCCGGAGCUCUUUAUUGCAUUUUAGAGUAGCCCAAAGGCUGCCUGUCCUUUUCUUCCCACAUUCUAUUUGUCUCUGGCCUUUCACUGCAGUGUUCUCCUUCUCUUUACCCUAGACAUUCUCUACUGCAUUUUCUUGCUGUCCUGUUUUGGUGUUCUGUGCUCCAUUGUCUUGGCUAUUGUACUUGGCUGUCUUUGCUGCAUUCUCUUCAGCGUUUGGUUUUGGUGUUUCUUGCCAUGUUCUCUUGGCUUCCUGUUUUGGCACUUCCUGCCAUGUUCUCUUAGCCCUUGCCUAGGCAUUUACUGCUGUGUUCUCUUAGCCUUCUGUUUUGGUAUUUCUUGCCAUGUUCUCUUGGCCAUUGUCCUCGGCACUUCCUGCUAUCUCAUAGCCAUUGCCGGGGUGUUCCCUGUGAUGUCCUCCUCGGCGUGCUGUUUUGGCAUUCCCUUCCCUGUGCCAUUCUCGUUGGCCUCCUGUUUUGGCCUACCUAGCCACCUUCUCUUGGCCUUCUGCAUUGGCUUCCUUUGCCAUGUUCUCUUUGGCUGCUUGUUCUGGCAUUCCCUGCCACGUCCUCUCGGCCUCCUGUUUUGGCACUUCCUGCCGUGUUCUCUUGGCCUUCUGUUAUGGUGUUUCUUGCUGUGUUCUCUUGGCCUUUGCUGUUGGCCUUCCCUGCUGUGCUCUCCUUGCCCUUGCCCUCAACAUAGCUUUUCAUUGGGCAUUCUCCUUGCUUUUGCCC